GGGAUUAUAGUAUAGUGGUCAGUACCUCUCGUUGUGGAACUUGUUCUUACAUUACCGAGAAAACGCAAGUUCGAUUCUUGCUAAUCCCA